UAGGGAAUCUUCCACAAUGGGCGAAAGCCUGAUGGAGCAACGCCGCGUGUGUGAUGAAGGGUUUCGGCUCGUAAAACACUGUUGUAAGAGAAGAAUGACAUUGAGAGUAACUGUUCAAUGUGUGACGGUAUCUUACCAGAAAGGAACGGCUAAAUACGUGCCCC
rnacentral:rRNA from 1 species